GCCGCCUUAGCUCAGUUGGCAGAGCGAUUCACUCGUAAUGAAUAGGUCAGGAGUUCGACUCUCCUAGGCGGCUCCA
rnacentral:tRNA from 1 species